GUAUUGAUGAAGAGUCCCAAACUAGGACGAAACGGCUGUCCAACAC
rnacentral:hammerhead_ribozyme from 1 species